rnacentral:rRNA from 1 species
CGUGAGGGAAAGGUGAAAAGAACCCCGGGAGGGGAGUGAAAUAGAACUGAAACCGUAGACUUACAAGCAGUCAAAGCCAUGAUUAUUCAUGGUGAUGGCGUGCCUUUUGUAUAAUGAACCUGCGAGUUAUCAUGUCUAGCAAGGUUAAAGCAUAGUAGUGCUGGAGCCUUAGCGAAAGCGAGUCUUAAACGGGCGAUUUAGUUAGAUGUGGUAGACCCGAACCCGAGUGAUCUAUUUAUGGCCAGGCUGAAGCUUGGGUAAAACCAAGUGGAGGGCCGAACUCUAGUCUGUUUAAAAAGGCAGAGAUGAGCUGUGAAUAGGAGUGAAAGGCUAAACAAACUCGGAGAUAGCUGGUUCUCCUCGAAAUGGAUUUAAGUUCAGCCUUAUUUUAGUGUAAUAGAGGUAGAGCACUAAUUGAGCUAGGGCCUGUCAAAGGGUACCAAACUCAGUUAAACUCCGAAUGCUAUUACAUGAUGAAUAGG